rnacentral:ncRNA from 2 species
AUCUUAUCAAGAAAGGCUGAGGGAAAUGGCCCUUUGAUGCCUUAGCAACCAUCCCAUAGAGGAAAAGGUGCUAAUUCCAUCUCCGGAAGACCGGAGGCAGAUAAGUU